rnacentral:rRNA from 1 species
ACGAACGCUGGCGGCGUGCUUCACACAUGCAAGUCGAACGGAAAGGCCCCUUUGGGGGUACUCGAGUGGCGAACGGGUGAGUAACACGUGAGUAACCUGCCCUUGCCUUGGGGAAAAUUCAGGAAAAUGGGGCUAAUACCCGGAAGGGAUCCUUGCUGCAUGGGGGGGGGUUGGAAGGUUCGGCGGUUUUGGAUGGACUCGCGGCUUAUCAGCUUGUUGGUGGGGUAGUGGCUUACCAAGGCUUUGACGGGUAGCCGGCCUGAGAGGGCGACCGGCCACAUUGGGACUGAGAUACGGCCCAGACUCCUACGGGAGGCAGCAGUGGGGAAUAUUGCACAAUGGGCGGAAGCCUGAUGCAGCAACGCCGCGUGCGGGAUGACGGCCUUCGGGUUGUAAACCGCUUUCAGCAGGGGCGAAGCUUGUGGUGACGGUACCUGCAGAAGAAGCACCGGCUAACUACGUG